rnacentral:rRNA from 1 species
UACGUAGGGUGCGAGCGUUAAUCGGAAUUACUGGGCGUAAAGCGUGCGCAGGCGGUUUUGUAAGCCAGACGGGAAAUCCCCGGGCUUAACCUGGGAAUGGCAUUUGGGACUGCAAGGCUCGAGUGCGGCAGAGGAGACUGGAAUUCCUGGUGUAGCAGUGAAAUGCGUAGAUAUCAGGAGGAACACCGAUGGCGAAGGCAGGUCUCUGGGCUGACACUGACGCUCAUGCACGAAAGCGUGGGGAGCAAACAGG